rnacentral:tRNA from 1 species
GCGGGGGUGGCCGAGACCGUUACAAACGGCGGAAUCCAGGUCAAAGGCGGUGGGCUUAGGACCCACUGGCGUAGGCCUGCGUGGGUUCGAAUCCCACCCCCCGCACCA